rnacentral:tRNA from 1 species
GGCCGUGUGGCGAAAUGGCAUCGCGUCUGACUACGAUAUUGGCAUUAUUGUGAAAUCAGGAGAUUGCAGGUUCGACCCCUGUCUCGGUCA